rnacentral:rRNA from 1 species
UACAGAGGUCCCAAGCGUUGUUCGGAUUCAUUGGGCGUAAAGGGUGCGUAGGCGGUGUCUUAAGUUUGUUGUGAAAUCUCCCGGCUUAACCGGGAGGGUGCGGCGAAUACUGAGAUGCUGGAGUGCCGGAGAGGUAAGCGGAAUUCCCGGUGUAGUGGUGAAAUGCGUAGAUAUCGGGAGGAACACCAGUGGCGAAGGCGACUACCUGGCCUGUUCUUGACGCUGAGGCGCGAAAGCUAGGGGAGCAAACGGG